rnacentral:rRNA from 1 species
GACGAACGCUGGCGGCGCGCCUAACACAUGCAAGUCGAACGAGAGAUGAGGAGCUUGCUCUUCAAAUCGAGUGGCGAACGGGUGAGUAACGCGUGAGGAACCUGCCUCAAAGAGGGGGACAACAGUUGGAAACGACUGCUAAUACCGCAUAAGCCCACGGCUCGGCAUCGAGCAGGGGGAAAAGGAGCAAUCCGCUUUGAGAUGGCCUCGCGUCCGAUUAGCUAGUUGGUGAGGUAAUGGCCCACCAAGGCGACGAUCGGUAGCCGGACUGAGAGGUUGAACGGCCACAUUGGGACUGAGACACGGCCCAGACUCCUACGGGAGGCAGCAGUGGGGAAUAUUGCACAAUGGGGGAAACCCUGAUGCAGCGACGCCGCGUGGAGGAAGAAGGUCUUCGGAUUGUAAACUCCUGUUGUUGAGGAAGAUAAUGACGGUACUCAACAAGGAAGUGACGG